rnacentral:rRNA from 1 species
AGUGAACGCUGGCGGUAGGCCUAACACAUGCAAGUCGAACGGCAGCACAGUAAGAGCUUGCUCUUACGGGUGGCGAGUGGCGGACGGGUGAGGAAUACAUCGGAAUCUACUUUUUCGUGGGGGAUAACGUAGGGAAACUUACGCUCAUACCGCAUACGACCUACGGGUGAAAGCAGGGGAUCUUCUGACCUUGCGCGAAUGAAUGAGCCGAUGUCGGAGUAGCUAGUUGGCGGGGUAAAGGCCCACCAAGGCGACGAUCCGUAGCUGGUCUGAGAGGAUGGUCAGCCACACGGGAACUGAGACACGGUCCAGACGCCUACGGGAGGCAGCAGUGGGGAAUAUUGGACAAUGGUCGCAAGCCUGGUCCAGCCAUACCGCGUGGGUGAAGAAGGCCUUCGGGUUGUAAAGCCCUUUUGUGGGGAAAGAAAAGCAGCAGGUUAAUACCCCGCUGUUCUGACGGUACCCAAAGAAUAAGCACCGGCUAACUUCGUG